rnacentral:rRNA from 1 species
AGUGAACGCUGGCGGUAGGCCUAACACAUGCAAGUCGAACGGCAGCACAGUAAGAGCUUGCUCUUACGGGUGGCGAGUGGCGGACGGGUGAGGAAUACAUCGGAAUCUACUUUUUCGUGGGGGAUAACGUAGGGAAACUUACGCUAAUACCGCAUACGACCUACGGGUGAAAGCAGGGGAUCUUCGGACCUUGCGCGAUUGAAUGAGCCGAUGUCGGAUUAGCUAGUUGGCGGGGUAAAGGCCCACCAAGGCGACGAUCCGUAGCUGGUCUGAGAGGAUGAUCAGCCACACUGGAACUGAGACACGGUGCAGACUCCUACGGGAGGCAGCAGUGGGGAAUAUUGGACAGUGGGCGCAAGCCUGAUCCAGCAAUACCGCGUGGGUGAAGAAGGCCUUCGGGUUGUAAAGCCCUUUUGUUGGGAAAGAAAAGCAGCAGGUUAAUACCCCGCUGUUCCGACGGUACCCAAAGAAUAAGCACCGGCUAACUUCGUG